GCCCGUUGGAACAAUCAUAUUUUGAGAACUGUGUAGGCAGAUAGUUUUCAUUAGCAAGCUUGUCUCUAAGCUGCUUUCUGGGAGUUAAAAACAUUCAUUUUUCCAGCAUCAGAAUUUAAUUCUUCCAUUUUUUCUUUAGUACAGAUUUUAUGUGUAACAAUACAAAUUUGAAUAAACACACAGUCCAUAGCCUUGGUGAUCUUGCAGGGAGUCGAAACCCAAGAACGGUCUCUCAGGCGGAGGUCCAAAUGUGGUGUGGAAUGUGCUACUGUGCUCAUCCGAUCAAUAAUCUGACUGAGUGGCCCGCUGCCUGGGAAAGACAGGAGAGCUGUGCAGUGACCGACUUACAUGAGCUGAGUCUUAAGGUUGAAGAGAAAUCUAUUCGGCCAAGAGAAGUCACACCAGACAGAAGCAAGCCCUCGCAAAGGCACAGAAUCCAGGCCUACUGCAGUUUACAGUACCCUGCAGGAGCAGAGGUGAAGAAGCCUUCAGAACCUCCUGGUCAUGGUCCUCACCCGUGCCCUGCCUUGAGAAGUGCUCGCAGGAUUGGGAAGAUGAACGUCGGUGAGAGCGCCUGGCUCAGAGGCCAAGGACGACUCCUACUCAACCUCACAAGCUGCUUCAGGAAGCAAUAAGACCUCGGGGAGGCGCAAUUACUAGACUCACUGACUUUGGGGAAGUGUCAGCGUCCAGAAAAUUUAACUCCUGACCCGACGGUGGAAUUGACGAAUAAAACUGUACCGACCGGGGCUGGGGAUUUAGCUCAGCGGCAAAGCGCCUGCCUGGCAAGCGCAAGGUCGUGAGUUCAGUUCCCGGUACCGGAGAAAAACCAAAACCAAACCAAAACAAAACAAAACAAAACUGUACCGACCAACCUGAAACAUGAAUAGCAACCUACUAUAUCAUAUAGAGGGGUGUUGCUAGAACAACAUGCAAAGGCAGGAGAAAAGACGUAAUCGAAGUAAAAAUUCCAGGGACGCUAACCAGUUGAGGUACAGGAGACAUGACAGUCUGGACAACCUAUAUUUACCUAAGAAAUAGCUUGAAUGUCUUUCACAAUUAUGAUGUAUAUGUAAAUAUUAUUAAAAUUAAAUUUCCACUGCAUUUGAUCAUGCUAUCCACUAGUGGUAUUAAUGUAGAACAUUUCUCCACUCGGAUUAAGUGCAUGGGGGCAGGGGCAGGCCUUUUUUGCAGAUGUGUUUGUUCUCAUUGAAAAUAUUUUAAGCCCUGUAAGCUUUACAAAAAAUGAAAUGCU
rnacentral:lncRNA from 1 species